GUGGGUUUGCGUUUCUUGCUGAUAUGGAUGGUGGUGCAUUUUUGCGGGUGGAACGCCAUUUGCCAAUCAUUUUCCCAUUUUUCUAAUUUAUCAAGGUCGUCUUGUAGCUUGGUGGAAUCGCUAGUGGAUCGAAUAGGACGAUAUAACAGGCAGUCAUCAGCAAACAAUUUCACGCUCGAGUUAACCGAUUCAGGGAGGUCAUUGAUGAAGAC
rnacentral:lncRNA from 1 species